GUCUCUCCUGGGAAACGGGUGGUAAUGCCGGAUGCUCCAUCACACCGCAUGGUGUGUUGGGAAAGCCUUUGCGGCAUGGGAUGGGGUCGCGUCCUAUCAGCUUGAUGGCGGGGUAACGGCCCACCAUGGCUUCGACGGGUAGCCGGCCUGAGAGGGCGACCGGCCACAUUGGGACUGAGAUACGGCCCAGACUCCUACGGGAGGCAGCAGUGGGGAAUAUUGCACAAUGGGCGCAAGCCUGAUGCAGCGACGCCGCGUGAGGGAUGGAGGCCUUCGGGUUGUAAACCUCUUUUGUUAGGGAGCAAGGCAUUUUGUGUUGAGUGUACCUUUCGAAUAAGCACCGGCUAACUACGUGCCAGCAGCCGCGGUAAUACGUAGGGUGCAAGCGUUAUCCGGAAUUAUUGGGCGUAAAGGGCUCGUAGGCGGUUCGUCGCGUCCGGUGUGAAAGUCCAUCGCUUAACGGUGGAUCCGCGCCGGGUACGGGCGGGCUUGAGUGCGGUAGGGGAGACUGGAAUUCCCGGUGUAACGGUGGAAUGUGUAGAUAUCGGAAAGAAACACCA
rnacentral:rRNA from 1 species